rnacentral:rRNA from 1 species
CUUGGUCAUUUAGAGGAAGUAAAAGUCGUAACAAGGUCUCCGUUGGUGAACCAGCGGAGGGAUCAUUACCGAGUUUACAACUCCCAAACCCCUGUGAACAUACCACUUGUUGCCUCGGCGGAUCAGCCCGCUCCCGGUAAAACGGGACGGCCCGCCAGAGGACCCCUAAACUCUGUUUCUAUAUGUAACUUCUGAGUAAAACCAUAAAUAAAUCAAAACUUUCAACAACGGAUCUCUUGGUUCUGGCAUCGAUGAAGAACGCAGCAAAAUGCGAUAAGUAAUGUGAAUUGCAGAAUUCAGUGAAUCGUCGAAUCUUUGAACGCACAUUGCGCCCGCCAGUAUUCUGGCGGGCAUGCCUGUUCGAGCGUCAUUUCAACCCUCAAGCACAGCUUGGUGUUGGGACUCGCGUUAAUUCGCGUUCCUCAAAUUGAUUGGCGGUCACGUCGAGCUUCCAUAGCGUAGUAGUAAAACCCUCGUUACUGGUAAUCGUCGCGGCCACGCCGUUAAACCCCAACUUCUGAAUGUUGACCUCGGAUCAGGUAGGAAUACCCGCUGAACUUAAGCAUAUCAAUAAGCGGAGGA